GACGAACGCUGGCGGCGUGCUUAACACAUGCAAGUCGAACGGGCUCUGUCUGGCUGUGUGCUGGGUGGGGUUAGUGGCGAACGGGUGAGUAAUACGUGAGUAACCUGCCCUCUUCUUUGGGAUAAGCCUUGGAAACGGGGUCUAAUACUGGAUAUUCCUGUCUGGUCGCAUGGCUGGGUGGGGAAAGUUUUUUUCGGUGGGGGAUGGGCUCGCGGCCUAUCAGCUUGUUGGUGGGGUGAUGGCCUACCAAGGCGUCGACGGGUAGCCGGCCUGAGAGGGUGACCGGCCACACUGGGACUGAGAUACGGCCCAGACUCCUACGGGAGGCAGCAGUGGGGGAUAUUGCACAAUGGGCGAAAGCCUGAUGCAGCGACGCCGCGUGGGGGAUGACGGCUUUCGGGUUGUAAACCUCUUUCGUCGGGGGACAAGGCUCUGCUUGGUGGUGGGGUUGAGGGUACCCGGUGAAGAAGCGCCGGCUAACUACGUG
rnacentral:rRNA from 1 species